UUUCAGCAAAGUAUUUUGCAGUUACGGAUGCAAGUAAGCAAGCUUGUGGAGCUGUGUUAACUCAACACAAAAAUGGACUCCAACUUCCAGUUUCUGAGUUAAGGGAAAAUAUAACUAUGUAGCUAUUGCGCUAUCAAGAAUAACCAUCAAAUAACUACAAGAAAUCACAAGAAAGUCACUACAAGAUAUCAAAGUAGACAAAAAUCCUGCGCAGGAGAUAAAGAAAUAGAAUUGCCUAAGCAAUCCAUAGAAAAAGCUUCAAAGCCCAACGUAUAUGAAGUCAUAAAAAAUUUGGAAGUACGUAAAGUAGUGACCUUGCAUAUAAAAGAUAUGCUAUGUUUCUUUAAACAUGGUUACUUUUUCCUAAGGCUUGAAAUGCAAUCCGGAUAAAUGAAAUCAGCCACCUCAAAAUGGCUCCGUGGGAAAAUAUCUUUGAACAUGUUUCAAUUGAUAAUUUCAAAGUAAUGGGCUAUAAAACCUGGAGACCCUAAUAGAUAAAUUAAAAGAAAAAUAAGUUGUCUACAUUUCAUGACGAUCCAAUACAAGGAGGUCACAAAGGCAUCACAAAAACCUUCGCAAAGGUCAAAAGAUAUUUUUACUGGAAAGGUAUGAAGGAAAAUGUCAGAAACGCCAAAAAUCAAAAGUGACAAGUAAUACAAACACUCCUUUAACAAUAACAGAAACUCCAAUAAAAGCUUUCGACAGGGUGAUAAUGGACACUAUUGGUCCGCUACCAAAAUCAGAAAAUGGCAAUUAUGAAUCUUUCUAAAGUACGGAACAAUGAACACGUUCAUAACAGACAUGGGUACAGAAUAUAAGAAUUCAGUUAUAAAUGACUUGUGCAAAUAUCUUAAAAUAAUAAAGGAAGGAGAUGUAUUAUGCACAUAAAA